rnacentral:misc_RNA from 1 species
CUGUUCGAGCGUCAUUAUGACCACUCAAGUCUGGCUUGGUGUUGGGGCCCGCGGUUACGCGGCCCCUAAAAUCAAUGGCGGUGCCACCUGGCUCUAAGCGUAGUAAUUCUUCUCGCUAUAGGGACCUGGUAGGAUGCUUGCUAAUAACCCCCAAUCUCACGGUUGACCUCGGAUCAGGUAGGGAUACCCGCUGAACUUAA